rnacentral:tmRNA from 20 species
GGGGUCGACAGGAAUUGACAGGUUGAGUGAUUACGUGUGUAAGCAUGCAGGCUCAUGGGAUGAGAGCCUUAAAAGAUAGUUCCGAACAAUAAUUGGCGAAGAAUCUUACGCCAUGGCUGCUUAAUUACGAACUAAGUUUGUAAUAAUGAGCGUUGAGUGGAGCUGUUAAGAACAGCACCCGGCCACAUCUCACACGGCUUCUGUUCUGCGGGCUGUGAACUGAGAUGUCGAACAGCAGGACUAGGGGAGUACAAGUUGCGGGUGCUUCGCGAAAUUAAGUAACUAAGGUUAUAGUUGGGUGCCGGUGACCUGCUACAGCUCGAAAAUGAACAUCCGGCUAAGCAUGUAGAAGAUUCGAUAGUGGCCUUCUCUGGACGAGAGUUCGAAUCUCUCCGACUCCACAC